UUUUUACUACAUUGAUUCGAUAGCAAAUGCAAGUUUGUAAUCUCUAUAGAUGAUUAAUCAUUGUCAUGUCUGAGUAAUAUGUUAAAUACGCCGUUCCCAGCGGGUCUUGGUAAGACUUGUCCAAUCACAAACGAGUAAAAGAAGAGUAAACCCAAGCAACACAGAAUGCUGGAGUAUGGAAAAGUGUUAACAGUCGACGUUUCUGGUCUUCACAGUGAAAGACACCAGCAGAAUGCUAGAAAUGUGAGUGGGAACGGCGCCCAAAGAGGAUCUGCACGCCUCGUCGGCUGAGUUGGUGUACGGCGCACCACUGGUCGUCCCAGGAGAGUUUACACCAGCCCCAAGGGGGCAAGAGGAAGAACCUGCAGCAGUCCUGGGCAGAGUACGCGAGAGGCUCGGUAACCUGGCCCCCAUACCCACUUCACAGCAUGGACAGAGCCUGACCUGCGUACCCAAAGACCUGCAAAACUGCAACGGGAUGAUGCUGUCCACCUUGAAGCUUGAGAGGACAGUGACUGAUCCAGAGAGAUGUACAAGAUGUCUGCUAGAACCUCUAUUAACUGGGCUGCACAGUUCCUCACCACCUGACCAGGUAUACAAGCUCCCCAGCCUUAUGUGGAUUGAUCCUGACACAUCAGCUGCGGCCAGACAGACUGCGAGCUUCUUGGGGAGAAGUGGAGGCCUUCCUCACUGGCACGUCAUUCCAUGCAUCAAACUGUGUGCAAACGACAUUCAGCUUAUCAGGAAGAGAGGUAUUAUUCUCGUUGAUGUGCAAGAACUUGUACUCUGUUAUGGUCUGAAUGUCCUUGCCACAUGUGCCCCAUGUCUCUGGUUUUACUGAAAUGGUUGUAUAUUCUCUGUGAAUAAUCCCGUUUUGCCUUCCUAAUGGCACAGGAAAGUGCAGCUCUUGCCACCCUGAGAACUGUCUUAUCACCAGAUCUGAAGGCAGCAUCCCGAUUUCUCAGAUGUGAAUGGCCCUCUACUGUCAGCCAUGGCUUCUGAUUUGCCCUUCCUCACGUAGAUGAUGUCCUCAAUAACAGCGAUGUCCUCAGUGUGGUUCUACAUAGCCAAUCACAGAUCCCACAUAUUCAAAGUCAAUGUGAUAGGUAGUCACCUCCCUGAAUAUGUUCCAGUCCAAGUUUUCAAAACAGUCCCAUAAUGCUGAGAUUACUCAUUCUGUCCAGGUCUUUAUUUCCCUUUGUAUAGUACAGCUGCUAUGUAAGAUGUCAUUCAGUUAUCAAACAAGAUUAAAGCAUGUCAAGUUUGCCAAAAAGGCUUGGUAACAGCACUUGGGAGGAAUGGGAUGCAGCAAGAUGAGAGUAAAAUAUGGUGAACAUCAAGAAAAAAAAUGACAGCUUCAUUUGAUUUUGCAUACGAAGCGAAAGGAAAAAUGUAGA